GCAGUCGUCAUCGAUGGAGGUUUUGAGCCCUCAUGAAGACAAGUUCGCUGCAGCCAAAGAGGCUCGUCAAUCGAUUCAACGGCAAUGGUACAUUUUUUGGCAUCAGCCUCCAGCCUAAAUACGCGAAUGAAACACCUACUUGGAAUGCAGCUAUGCGCGCAAAAGAGUCAUCACUGGAAUUGCGCAGGGAGACCCCAAUUCAUUUCUAGAAUUACAACAAAAGAUUGGGUAAAAGGUGUUGUCUCGGAUUUCUAGUCCAUCACCUUAACCACUCGGCCACGACAACUUUCAACCCCCCAAACGGCGAGAAAAUACAAGGCAACCCAUGACGGAACACAAACUGUAAAAUCAAUUCUUUUCAUAUUGAUAUCAUACAUAUAAGUUCUUCAUCUACAUAUUUUGAAGCAGUAUGGAUGAUGUGCUCAAUACUGCUGUACUGUAAGCAGAUUCUAGUGCAGUAUAAGUACCUUCAAUCAGCAGUCAGAAGUUCCCUAAAAUGACAUCUCUGGUAAUAUUUACAGCCAAAUGAUGCAGCGUUUUAAAUGUUCUCACCUCCAGGAAUGUUGGGAAGACACCACGUCCAGAUGGUCCUGUGUCCCCUAUGCUGAAGUAGAUAGGAAAGGUGCUGUGAUCCCUCCUUCCUUAUGUGUCUAAGUCCAUUUCUUAACACAACUGCCAUGUGGAGACUUCUCAGUCAUUUUAUAGCUUUAGUGAAGCGUAUUCUAUAGGAACGAUAUAUAUAUAUAUAUAUACAUACACACACACAAAAUGUGUAUAUACAAUAGUUUCUAUGGAAUACGUUUUACUAUUGUUUGAUUAAACCAUCUGCUUUCUUCCCCGGUGUCUAAGGUCCACCUACAAGGCACUUGCUGGUGAGGCACCGUUGUAUCUUAAAGAGCUUGUAACACCUUAUUGCCCUACAAGGCAGCUGCGCUCCAUAGAUGCUGGGUUACUUGUUGUUCCUAUGGUUUUAAAAAGUAGGCUGGGGGCCAGAGCCUUCAGUCAUCAAGCUCCUCUUUUAUGGAACCAGCUUCCACUUUCAGUCCGGGGGGCAGAUUAGGUCAGCUCUUUUAAAGUAAAACUUAAAACUUUCCUCUUUGAUUCUGCCUAUAGUUAGGGCUGGCUCAGGUUAGCCCGGACCAGCCCUUAGUUAAGCCUAUUGCUAUAUUGCUAUAGGCUUAGACUGCCCGGGGACUUCUUAGGACACACGGAGCUCCUCUCUCUCUCUUUCUCUCCCUCUUUAUGUUAAUUCACAUUUCAUUAAUAAUUCACAUCUCAAUGCACAUCCUUAUUUCUCUUCUUUUAUCUUCCCCGAGUAUUUGUGCUUCACCUACUCACAGGUUUCUAUGGAUGGUGUUUUUUGCUGCAGUGGCCCUUGAAGUGUACUUUCAGAUUCCUGAAAGCGGCCUGAACCAUAAAUUGAUAAUAGGUGACAAUCCCAGCUGCCUCGGAAAAAACAGGGCUGAGCCAAGAGAGCUUUCCCCAUGAAAGGACUUUGCAUGCUAAAACAAAGUUCCAUCCUGGCAGAAAGGACACAAACCGUCCCAGUGAAGAGGACGCCAGUGGACGGGAAAUGUGCUGUCUUCCUACAGAACGAGCGGCCGGCCGGCGGCGAUCCGCAGACGUAAUGCGACAUAAUGGCCUCCGCCCACUGCUGAGGCUGCACGCUGGGCGCUUCAGUGCCCCCCCCUGACCCCGUCCCAGAGGAGGAUGCCCGUGUGUUGGUGGAGUCCAGCAGCUCAGCGCAGCGCGACUGAAAGGAGGUGCGGCCUCCAUUUUAUUCUAAGAACAUAUCGUCGUAAUAUCUUUCAAUUCAAUUCAACUUGACCCCAGAGGGCUCUACUAAUGGUUCACAUGCGACGUCUUCGCUCCGGUUAGAAAAGUGGAAGGAGACAAAUAACAACUAAAACAACCAACCUCAGUCUAAGUCUUUGCUAUUUAUGGGUUUGUCUCACAGCUUCGUCUUACUAUCACACUGUUCAAACUGAACCAGAAGUUCUAACUCAUCUGACUCAUCGAACUCAAAAGAAUACCGCGAAGACCUGGACGAAUCCAUUUGGGCCUUUUAGGCCUCUUGGGUGGCUGAAGUGCAUCUGGAUGCCGGGCUGCGUGGUGCUGAGCUCUGGGUCGGUACUCCGGGCCGAUACCAGCUGUGUGUGGGUUUAACCAAUGCACGUGCACACGGUGGCGCGCAGCACACAGCGGAGCCUUUAAUAACCGCACGUGUGGCUUUAGAGCGCUCAGCUUUGUGUGUCUGUAAACGUUUCGAGUUUAGAUCCAUCCAUCCAUCCAUUUUCAACCGCUUAUCUGGUCGCGGGGGCAACAGCUCCAGCAGGGGACCCCAAACUUCCCUUUCCCGGGCCACAUCUACCAGCUCUGACUGGGGGAUCCCAAGGCGUUCCCAGGCCAGUGCAGAGAUAUAAUCUCUCCACCUUGUCCUGGGUCUUCCCCGGGGCCUCUUCCCAGCUGGCCGUGCCUGAAACACCUCCCUAGGGAGGCGCCCAGGGGGCAUCCUCACCAGAUGCCCAAACCACCUCAACUGGCUCCUUUUGACGCAAAGGAGCAGCGGCUCUACUCCGAGCUCCUCGCGAAUGGCUGAGCUUCUCACCCUAUCCCUAAGGGAGACGCCAGCCUCUCUCCUAAGGAAACCCAUUUCGGCCGCUUGUACCCGUGACCUAGUUCUUUCGGUCAUGACCCAUCCAUGAACCGAGUUUAGAUGAAGGUCUAAAUAAACAAAUACAUAUUUUAUGAUUUUAAAAUGUCACUGUUGUACUGGUUUACUGUUUAUAAUUGACUUGAUAUGAUUACACAGUUUAAAUAGUACGUUGCACAGAGGUACAGAAGAAGAAGAAUUGCAUUCUUGCUGUGAAGAAAUGAAUGUAUUGAACUUGCUCUUCAGGAGGAAAGAACACAACAGUGAAGCUGAACAGCGGAACGUUGAUUGAUUUUUUUCUACUAAUGAGGCCAUUUUUCUGUUUGCAUAUUAAAAGCGCACAGAUGGUUUGUGUUUGCAGUGGGUUUCAUUGUGUGCCAGGGUUCAUCUUUGUGUUUGGCACUCAAGCUGUUGACUAGGAGCUCGGCAGAACGAGUCUUUGGGGUUUUAUCUGCAGGUAGAAGUUCGUCCUUCUGAUGGAUUUAUUCUUCCUUCCACCGGUGGAUUUCUGCUGCUGCUGCUUUUAAAGAGAAGAGAGAAUUACUUUGAUUGUGAGGCUAUUGUUCAUCUUUUAGAUGCAAAAUACGUUUUCAUUUAUUUCCAUGAAACAUGUUAAUCACACUAGUGGAGUCUGAGUUGUACACUGGUAACAUUCAAAUCUGUUGGUGUUUUCAAAAGGCGACAACGAUGCAAAUGCUGGCAAAUUAAACAGGAAUCUUCCAGAAAGCAACCAAGUGA
ensembl:lncRNA